rnacentral:tRNA from 1 species
ACAUUGGUGGUCCAGUGGUAGAAUUCUCACCUUCAAUGCGGGACACCCAGGUUCGAUUCCUGGCCAAUGCA